rnacentral:rRNA from 1 species
UACGGGGGGGGUAAGCGUUGUUCGGAAUUACUGGGCGUAAAGGGCUCGUAGGCGGCCAACUAAGUCGGACGUGAAAUCCCUCAGCUUAACUGGGGAACUGCGUCCGAUACUGGAUGGCUUGGAUUUGGGAGAGGGAUGCGGAAUUCCAGGUGUAGCGGUGAAAUGCGUAGAUAUCUGGAGGAACACCGGUGGCGAAGGCGGCCCACUGGAUCGGUACUGACGCUGAGGUGCGAAAGCGUGGGGAGCAAACAGG